GGACUACCGGGGUUUCUAAUCCUGUUCGCUCCCCACGCUUUCGCUCCUCAGUGUCAGGUAAGGCCCAGAGAACCGCCUUCGCCACCGGUGUUCCUCCUGAUAUCUGCGCAUUUCACCGCUACACCAGGAAUUCCAUUCUCCCCUACCUACCUCUAGUCUGCCCGUAUCCACUGCAGGCUCAGGGUUAAGCCCUGAGUUUUCACAGCGGACGCAACAGACCACCUACGAGCUCUUUACGCCCAAUAAUUCCGGACAACGCUUGCGCCCUACGUGUUACCGCGGCUGCUGGCAC
rnacentral:rRNA from 1 species